CAUACGCAUAUACAUAUAUCGUAACUACACCUACAUCUUUCGCGAGACGAAUUUGUUCCAGUCGAAACGGCUUUGACUUUCGACGCGUCAACGAAAGAUAAACUCAAGUAUGCUUUUCCUUUCGUAGGGAAAAAACUCGUAAAAAAGCUGCAGGGUUAGCGAUAAGAAGUCGACGAUUGAGUUUGAUAGUAAGGAAAGGGGGAAGAAGAAUAUUUGCUUGCUUCCUUGCUUGCCUUUGCUCUAUGCGAGACUCGAGGCUAUUGUUUGCGUUCCGUGCGAUUACUUUUAAUAAAUUCGACGACCGGGAGGUCUGCGUCCGAUCUAUGGAGAACGAAAGGAAAUACAGAUAGAAGAAAGAGAAAGAGAAAAAGAAAGAGAAGAAAUAGCUUUUGCUUUGUUAUACAUUUUCUGUUCACCCUCUCUCUCUCUCUCUCUCUCUCUCUCAUUCUCUCUCUCUCCUUCUCUUCGUUCCUCUUUACUUUACGCCCUCUCCCUCUCCUAGUUUUUCGAUCGUGUUUCCAAUUUAUUCCAACGAUAGGACGUGUAUCAUCGUCUCUUCCGCGCAAAUUUCCAUUCUAGUAUCAUCGGAUCUUGCCGUGUAUAUGACAGAAAAAAAAAAGAAGAAAAAAAAAAAGAAAACAAGAAAAACAAAACAAACAAAAAAAUUUAAAGUAAUACCUCUCGAUGGCACUCGGAAACUAGUAGUACGAUAAUGACGAGAAAGCUCGUCAUGCUGGGACGGCUUCGGGUUCUCUACUUUGCUCGAUGCGAUUGGUAAAUAGUGACUUUCAAGCCGGUUGCGCAGUCCUGUGAUGUUUGCGACGGGAACGCUAACAAUAAGACAAACUCUAACUUGAAAUUACGUUGAGUACGGGAAAGGAAAGUAGAGAGAGAGAGAGAGAGAGAGAGAGAGAGAGAGAGAGAGAGAGAGAGAGAGAGAGAGAGAGAAAUCAAACCGAAGUGACCAAGUGAUCUCACUGGAUUCGAAUGUAAUGACUAAUCUACUAACAAUGAUAACAAUAAUAUUUUUCUUUAUGACAUCGAUCGAUCGAUCGAUUGAUCCGAGCAGAUCGAACCUAAGCAUGGAUUAUAAUCCAUGAAUUAUUAUGUUUCAGUUUAACGUUAGUACGAGCUAACGAGGAAGCGUCGAGAGAAGAGAAAGGAAGCAGAAGAAGAAGAAGAAGUAAAAGAAGAAAAAUAAGAAGAGGAAGAACAACAGAAUAACGACGAAGGCAACAACGAUGAUUAUGACGAUGACGAUGAUGAUGAUGAUGAUGAUGAUGAUGAUGAUGAUGAUAAAGAUCAAGAAACAUGACGUUGCUUAGAAAGAAACGAUUCUCAAACGGUGCACGAAUGAGAAUAAAAAAAAAAAAAAAAAAAACAAACAAAGAGAGAGAGAGAGAUGGAGAGAGAAAGGGAAAUAGAAAAUAAAUAAAGAUAAAGAAAAAAAAAAAAACAAGUCCAACUUUGAUUGGAGAUAGAAAAUCGUAAGAGUUUCCAAACGUCAAAACGCCGCCGAUGCGUUCCUAUCGUCACCGAUGCACCAACAAAGGCAUGCUCCGUUGCGAAACGUCGAUGGAAUAUCAUACGCGUUGGCACGAGUGUACAUUAGAGUGUAUAUAUACACAGAGUGAAAAGAGGGAGAAGGAGAGAGAGAGAGAGAGAAAGAGAGAGCACACAUUGCUACGUUAUAUUCGUCGUCAUACGCAAGACGAAAACGGAGCCCCUUUCGAUCGUGUGCUACGUGAUUUCAAUAUCAAGGAGAGGCGUUCGAGAGCGAAAACGACUCGCUAUAAGGGGGUCGUUGAGCAGGCUUCCCCAAGUGAAUGCUCGAGCGGUAGAAAAGAAGGAACGACAAACUCGAAUGCUGGAGUAUUCGGAAUGGGCAUGCCUCACCUGGCCUUAUGCCCAACGAGCGGGCAAAUGAAGAAGGUGGCGUGAGACGAGAAGGGCUCUCCAGAGAAACAGGGAGAGAGACAGAGAGAGAAGAGAGGAGAGAGAGAGAGAGAGAGAGAGAGAAAGAGAGAGAGAGAGAGAGAGAGAAGGGACGUAGGUUUGCGAGCAAAAAAGGAAAGAUCCGAGUUAGGGACGAAUCAGCCUCCCGGAGAAUUGCCAGAAAGAACUUACACCCUCCUCCCCCUUUCCUCCCCUUCGCACUUACACGAGUUUACUUGUGAGAGUUGAACACGUAUGUCUAUAGGGUUUAGAAAAGCCUGCUUUCUAAAGAUUUCUGCCUGCGCCAGAAAAUUAAUGUCCCUUCUUUCUUUCUUUCUUUCUUUCUUUCUUUCUUUCUUUCUUUUUGUUUAUUUUCUUUUUUUCUUUAUUUUUUUUUUUUUCUUUUUACACAAUUCUUUUUCGUUUACUUCCGCCAAACGAAACGAUCGUGGACCGUGAGCAUUAUUCAGCGAACGAAUGUACAUAUUUUUUUAGUGAGAGCUUUCGAAAACUAAAACGAUGAAGAACAUGAAACAAAAAAAAAAAAAAAAAACAAAAAAAAGAAAGAAAAAGAAAAAAGAAAAGAAAAAAAACGAAAAGAAAGAAUAGAGAAUAUGUGUGUCCGUUCGAAGAGUGUCAGACAGCUGCAAAAAAGGGAAAAAGAAGGAGAGAAGAAAUAAAAAAAAAAGAAAAAAAAAAAAAAAAGAGAGAAAAAACAGCGAGAAGAAAUAUCAACGAGAGUUGAAAGAUAUUCAACGAUUCGCAGAGCAGCUUAGGAUGGAGAUAUUAACAAGAGUCACUCCACGUAUAUUCUCUACUUUUUUUUCUCCUAGCAAAUCUUUUUUAACGGCGAAAACCGUCAAGUAGUCCAAGUAAAAGGCAAGAAAAAUUCGGUCGACCACCGACAUGCUCUAUGUUUCUCUCUCUCUCUCUCUCUUUCUGUCCUGUUAGACUUAUCGUUCUGCAGGGAGAAUGGUCGUUGGCGGGUUUCGAGA